UCGACCUGAGAUCAGGCAAGGCUACCCGCUGAAAUUAAGCAUAU
rnacentral:rRNA from 2 species